CAUCCCACUAAUUAUUUUUAGAAUCGGUAGGAGAAGAAAGUAGUGCAGAAAAAUUUGUAAAUUCCUUAAUUUUCAGACUUGACUAAAAAAAAAUGUGAUUAUGUACUAAACUGAGCCUCAUACUUCUUGAUAAGGAGUAUCUUUCCUAUCAAAAUAGCUUUUAAAUGUAAUUUAUCAAGAAGAUUAGCUGAAUUAUUUUGUGUAUUAUACCGCCAAUGAGAAUCCUGGAAUUCCCCUACUUUCACUUUCAUUUUCAGAGGUUCCUGCAGACAGACGCAUUUUGCCGGAAAACGAAUCUGACAUGCCACCUCGAGAUUUUAACCACGGAAAGACAAGUUGAUGUGCUUUGAUUUAAGGGGUCACUCAUUUCUGAACGAAAAUUAGGGACAUCACUAUGAGGAGAAACGUUAACAUUGUCGCCUAUGGGAAAACAAUUAGUGGACUGUACCCAUAUUAGGAAGCCUAUAAGUUGUCAUGGUGAUUGGUACUGGAAAACCAUGAGGUUGAUGCAGAUGGGGUUUAAAACUAUUGACCAGCAAACGCGCACCCAUUUGAAUACAUCUUGAAGCAUCACAAGCAAAAUGUGACCGUCGGCAAAAUGUAGGUUCCUGCAGACAGACGCAUUUUGCCGGAAAACGAAUCAGACAUGCCACCUCGAGAUUUUAACCACGGAAAGACAAGUUGAUGUGCUUUGAUUUGAGGGGUCACUCAUUUCUGAACGAAAAUUAGGGACAUCACUAUGAGGAGAAACGUUAACAUUGUCGCCUAUGGGAAAACAAUUAGUGGACUGUACCCA